UAAUGCCUUUGGAUGAAAUUUAAGAC
rnacentral:piRNA from 1 species